CCUACGGGUGGCAGCAGUGGGGAAUAUUGGGCAAUGGGCGCAAGCCUGACCCAGCAACGCCGCGUGAAGGAAGAAGGCUUUCGGGUUGUAAACUUCUUUUCUCAGGGACGAAGAAAGUGACGGUACCUGCGGAAUAAGCCACGGCUAACUACGUGCCAGCAGCCGCGGUAAUACGUAGGUGGCAAGCGUUAUCCGGAUGUACUGGGUGUAAAGGGCGUGUAGGCGGGAAGGCAAGUCAGAUGUGAAAACCAUGGGCUCAACCUGUGGCCUGCAUUUGAAACUGUUUUUCUUGAGUACUGGAGAGGCAGACGGAAUUCCUAGUGUAGCGGUGAAAGGCGUAGAGAUUAGGAGGAACACCAGUGGCGAAGGCGGUCCGCUGGACAGCAACUGACGCUGAGGUGCGAAAGCGUGGGGGGCAAACAGGAUUAGAUACCCCAGUAGUC
rnacentral:rRNA from 1 species